rnacentral:tRNA from 1 species
GAAAUUGGUAGACGCUACGGACUUAAAAAAUCCGUCGACUUUUAAAAUCGUGAGGGUUCAAGUCCCUCUAUCCCCA